UACAGAGGGUGCAAGCGUUAAUCGGAAUUACUGGGCGUAAAGCGUGCGUAGGCGGUUAUUUAAGUCAGGUGUGAAAGCCCCGGGCUCAACCUGGGAAUUGCAUUUGAGACUGAAUAGCUAGGGUGCGGAAGAGGGAAGCGGAAUUUCCGGUGUAGCGGUGAAAUGCGUAGAUAUCGGAAGGAACACCAGUGGCGAAAGCGGCUUCCUGGUCCAGCACCGACGUUCAGGCACGAAAGCGUGGGGAGCAACCAGG
rnacentral:rRNA from 1 species